UCGGCUUCGGCUAGGGGGCCAUCCCGGCUUACCAACCCGAUGCAAACUACGAAUACCGAAGAAUGUUAUCACGGGAGACACACGGCGGGUGCUAACGUCCGUCGUGAAGAGGGAAACAACCCAGACCGCCAGCUAAGGUCCCAAAGUCAUGGUUAAGUGGGAAACGAUGUGGGAAGGCACAGACAGCCAGGAUGUUGGCUUAGAAGCAGCCAUCAUUUAAAGAAAGCGUAAUAGCUCACUGGUCGAGUCGGCCUGCGCGGAAGAUGUAACGGGGCUAAACCAUGCACCGAAGCUGCGGCAGCGACGCUUAKGCGUUGUUGGGUAGGGGAGCGUUCUGUAAGCCGUUGAAGGUGUGCUGUGAGGCAUGCUGGAGGUAUCAGAAGUGCGAAUGCUGACAUAAGUAACGAUAAAGCGGGUGAAAAGCCCGCUCGCCGGAAGACCAAGGGUUCCUGUCCAACGUUAAUCGGGGCAGGGUGAGUCGACCCCUAAGGCGAGGCCGAAAGGCGUAGUCGAUGGGAAACAGGUUAAUAUUCCUGUACUUGGUGUUACUGCGAAGGGGGGACGGAGAAGGCUAUGUCAGCCGGGCGACGGUUGUCCCGGUUUAAGCAUGUAGGCGGAGGUUCCAGGUAAAUCCGGUACCUURUUAACGCUGAGGUGUGAUGACGAGGCACUACGGUGCUGAAGUGAUAAAUGCCCUGCUUCCAGGAAAAGCCUCUAAGCAUCAGGUAACACGAAAUCGUACCCCAAACCGACACAGGUGGUCAGGUAGAGAAUACCAAGGCGCUUGAGAGAACUCGGGUGAAGGAACUAGGCAAAAUGGUGCCGUAACUUCGGGAGAAGGCACGCUGAUAKGUAGGUGAAGUCCCUGCGGACGGAGCUGAAAUCAGUCGAAGAUACCAGCUGGCUGCAACUGUUUAUUAAAAACACAGCACUGUGCAAACACGAAAGUGGACGUAUACGGUGUGACGCCUGCCCGGUGCCGGAAGGUUAAUUGAUGGGGUYAGCGGCAACGCGAAGCUCUUGAUCGAAGCCCCGGUAAACGGCGGCCGUAACUAUAACGGUCCUAAGGUAGCGAAAUUCCUUGUCGGGUAAGUUCCGACCUGCACGAAUGGCGUAAUGAUGGCCAGGCUGUCUCCACCCGAGACUCAGUGAAAUUGAACUCGCUGUGAAGAUGCAGUGUACCCGCGGCAAGACGGAAAGACCCCGUGAACCUUUACUAUAGCUUGACACUGAACACUGGUCCUUGAUGUGUAGGAUAGGUGGGAGGCUUUGAAGCGUGGACGCCAGUCUGCGUGGAGCCAACCUUGAAAUACCACCCUUUAAUGGCUGGUGUUCUAACGUAGACCCGUAAUCCGGGUUGCGGACAGUGUCUGGUGGGUAGUUUGACUGGGGCGGUCUCCUCCCAAAGAGUAACGGAGGAGCACGAAGGUUGGCUAAUCCUGGUCGGACAUCAGGAGGUUAGUGCAAUGGCAUAAGCCAGCUUGACUGCGAGCGUGACGGCGCGAGCAGGUGCGAAAGCAGGUCAUAGUGAUCCGGUGGUUCUGAAUGGAAGGGCCAUCGCUCAACGGAUAAAAGGUACUCCGGGGAUAACAGGCUGAUACCGCCCAAGAGUUCAUAUCGACGGCGGUGUUUGGCACCUCGAUGUCGGCUCAUCACAUCCUGGGGCUGAAGUAGGUCCCAAGGGUAUGGCUGUUCGCCAUUUAAAGUGGUACGCGAGCUGGGUUUAGAACGUCGUGAGACAGUUCGGUCCCUAUCUGCCGUGGGCGCUGGAGAAUUGAGGGGGGCUGCUCCUAGUACGAGAGGACCGGAGUGGACGCAUCACUGGUGUUCGGGUUGUCAUGCCAAUGGCACUGCCCGGUAGCUAAAUGCGGAAGAGAUAAGUGCUGAAAGCAUCUAAGCACGAAACUUGCCCCGAGAUGAGUUCUCCCUGAGACUUUAAGUCUCCUGAAGGAACGUUGAAGACKACGACGUUGAUAGGUCGGGUGUGUAAGCGCAGCGAUGCGUUGAGCUAACCGAUACUAAUGAACCGUGAGGCUUAACCUU
rnacentral:rRNA from 1 species